GGGAAUCAUCAAAUUUUUGAAAGAAAAGGGAAAGAGGGGCGGAGAGAAUGCCUGUUUGAGGGUCAGUAUUAAUAAAAAUCGGUGUGUUGAUUCUUUGUGACGCCCCGGAGUUUGGGUCAUCUUAAUAUCCUUUAGGUUUCAAGAGGCUUAAAAUUGACUUUUUUUGCGCAUUUUAGAUGUACAUAAAUUCUUUUUUUUAUUCGUAUGUCUUAAUGCUCAAAAUCAUAUUAGAUGCGACGAUAGCGUGUGGUUUCGUGUCUAUAAAGUGG
rnacentral:misc_RNA from 1 species